AUGCCCCACCGUAAAAUAUUAAUUCACAUCCACAACGCCCGGGUACUACGAGCCUAGCUUAAAACCCAAAGGAUUUGACGGUGUCCCAUCCAACUAGAGGAGCCUGUUCUAUAAUCGAUGAUCCACGAUUUACCCAACCCCAUUUUGCCACUCAGCCUGUAUACCUCCGUCGUAAGCUUACCGUGUGAAUGUUUUCAGUAAGUAUAGAGAUCCCACCAUAAAUACGUCAGGUCAAGGUGCAGCUAAUAAUAGGGAAAGCUAUGGGCUACAAUUUCUAACAUAGAACAUACAAAUUACUGCAUGAAACACAGUAUGAAGGCGGAUUUAGCAGUAAAAAGAAAAUAAUGUGUUCUUUUUAAGAAGGUCCUGGGACGUGUACACACCGCCCGUCACCCUCUUCAACAGUUUUAAAAAGUUUAUAACAACUCUUACACCUUAGAAGAGGCAAGUCGUAACAUGGUAAGUAUACCGGAAGGUGCACUUGGAUUA
rnacentral:rRNA from 1 species